AUGUGGAAAUGCAAAGAACACCGGGCAGCCAAAGCAGUGCUGAAAAUCUCAAAUAAUACGGACUCUGAGUUCAAGAUUUACUGCACAAGUCAUCAGGCUAAAGGAACAGAAUCAAGUCCACAGUUAGAGGUGCACGUGCCGCUGAAUGAUUAUGAACCGGCUGCUACAUCAGUCCCUUGGGGUGUCGGUGAAGUUGUCUCUCCCUGGGUGAACGUGGUGCGGACCAAAGCAAACUACGUCCCAGGAGCCUACAGAAAGGCGGUGGCUUCUCAAGCCCCUAGGAAGGUGCUUGGCUCCUCCACCUUUGUCACCAAUUCUUCAAGUUCGUCGAGAAAAGCUGAAAACAAGUAUGCAGGAGGGAACUCAGUCUGUGUGCGCCCAACUCCCAAGUGGCAAAAAGGCAUUGGGGAAUUCUUCUGGCUAUCCCCUAAAGAUUCUAAAAAGGAGAACCAGAUUCCUGAAGAAGCAGGAAGCAGUGGCUUAGGAAAAGCAAAGAGAAAAGCUCGUCCUUUGCAACCUGAUCACAGAGAUGAUGAAAACGAAUAGAAUUUACUCAUCUGAAUAUUG